GGGAAAAAAGUGUGAAGGUGGGAUGGCGGGGUGGACACGGGAACCCGAGAAAGGUGAGGGAGAUGAAGGCUGAGCGGAGGCCGUGAUGAAGAUACCAUAGCAUGGGAGAGGAAUACUGGGCUGAAGGAGGGAUGAAGAAGAUAGAGGAAGAGAAGGCCAGGGAGAGGCAGGGAAGAAAAGGUGACAGGGAGGGAAAACUGGGAACUGGGAGAAAGAGUCAACUGAGACCAGGGUUGAAAUAGACAGACAUAUAUUACUAUUCCUGUGUAGAAAUGCGGGUUGAGUGUAGGAAAGGACAGAAUUUAAACUGAAGAAAAAGUCUAAACACAGUUAAGGUAUAGAAACUAGAUCUAACAGGGGCUGGAGAGGGACAGAGACAGGUAGCAAGACGAUCAGAGAGCAAAACAGAAGCAGGAAAAGCUCAGAAAAUCAUUAUUGCAGCUGUAGGAGUCUGUUAUCCUUUUCCUGCCAUGGAUGUAAUGCUGGUUUGGACAGCGGGUAACGUCCAAUCAGACAACAGGACUGCAGGCCUUGUCAUAAUGACAACCAUGACAUCACUGCAAGGGCGAGCGGAGAGAAGACAGCGGAGCUCCAGACAGACAGCGGGACAACCGCGGAGCUGCACGGCGGCCAAAGCGCGCCGGCUGCCGGAUCGAAACCGCGCGGACUACCGAGGGGGGGGGAGAACGACAUGCGGAGGUUUGCCGUUUGGGGCUGUUUCACGGCCGGCGCACGGAGCUCUUCCCCCGGACAGGCUGAGACUGCUUCACCGGUACGGAAGCGAGGAGGAGGAUGUGGAGGAGGUUGAACGAAACGGCGUCUUGUUUUAUUUCAACACGAGAGGAAGACAACUCCCAAACUGGCAUGAUGUAACAGAAGAGUGAAGAUGCAGUCAAGAGACCAGGACAUUGCAUGAACCGGAUGGCAAAUGGGGACCGAGGAGCAGCGGCUGCUGUAAUCUCCACUGUUCAAUUAGCGGCACUGACCGGGACGCCACCUACACUUCAUUAACAGGGUGAGGAAGGUGAUGUUGAUGGUACAACAUCAAACCAGUGGGAGUGCAGGAGAUGGAGAAGAUGCCGACAUUUCACACACACAUGCACACACACACACACACACACACACACACACACACACACACACACACACACAUUUGUGCGCACACACUUGUACACACGCACAGCAGUAAAUGGGAGCUUGCUGUCACUAGUGUGAGCCAUUUCCAGGUGAGGCAAACUGAAUUAAAGGGAAUCAAGCUGAACUGAUGUGAACUGGAACGACCUGACCUGAGCUGAAAAGAAGGUUUGAGCCGGACAGGACACACACAGCGCUCUGAAUUUCAAGGCAAAGAAUUAACACAGAUGAAAACCUGCUGUCAAUCACACCUGUGUUUUUUUUUUUUGUUUUUUUUUGU